AGUUAAUAAUUUAUUUAUUUGUUUUUUUUAUUUUUUUAAUAAAAAUAUUUUAUUUUUUAGUAUUUUGAAUUAAUAUUUUUUUAUUAUAGUUAAUUUUACUGUUAAGGUUUAUUGUUUGUUUUAAUUUAAAGUAGUUUUUGUUUAAUGUACCUUUUGCAUCAGGGUUUAUUAAAAUAUUAAAAUUAUUAUUUGUCUUCCCGAAAUUUUAAGAUUUAAGGUUAUAUGUAAGUUUUUGUUACAAGAAAAUUUGUAAUUUUUCCUUAGAGGUUAUAUGCUUUUCAUUUAAAUUAAUAUCUGGUUUAUUAAUAUAUGAAUUUAAUUCAUUCUUAAUAAUGCUUUAUUUUAAUUUUAUUAAUUAUAGUAUUUUAAGAAAAGAAAUAUAGGGAUAAGCUUAUAUUUUUUAUUAAAAAUGUUUUUUAACAAUUUUUUGUAGGAUUAAUAAUUUUCAUCUUUAUUUUGUUAUAAUUAUUUUUUGUUGAUUUUGAUUUUUGUUUUUUUAAUUUUUUAUUAAUAUUUUUUUAUUAAUUUUAUUUAUUAAAUAAUUAUGAUAUAAUUAGUAAUUUUUAUAAUUUAAAUAUAGUAAUUCGGCAAAUUUUAUUUUCACCUGUUUAACAAAAACAUGUUCUUUUGUUUUUAAUUUAAGAUCGGGCCUGCCCAUUGAUUUUUUGGAAUUAAAAGGCUGCGGUAUUUUAACUGUACGAAGGUAGCAUAAUCAUUUGUCUUUUAAUUGGAGGCUAGAAUGAAUGGUUUGAUGAAAAAUAUACUUUCUUUAUUUAAUUAUUUUGAAUUUAAUUUUUUAGUUAAAAAGCUAAAAUUUUUUUAUAGGACGAGAAGACCCUAUAGAAGUUAACUUUAUUUAUAAAUUUAUAUUUUUUGUUUUUUAAAUUUAUUUUUAGAAUGUGAAGUUUUGUUGGGGUGAUAUUAAAAUUUAUUUAACUUUUAAUUUUUAUUUCAUUAAUUUAUGUUAUUUUUGAUCCGGAAUUUUUGAUUAUAAGAAUAACUUACCUUAGGGAUAACAGCGUAAUUUUUUCGGAGAGUCCCUAUCGAUGAAUAAGUUUGCGACCUCGAUGUUGAAUUAAGAUUAGAUUUGGGGGUAAAAUUUCAUUUUUCUUGGUCUGUUCGACCAUUAAAUUCUUACAUGAUUUGAGUUCAGACCGGCGUGAGCCAGGUCGGUUUCUAUCCUUAUUUUAUAUAAAUUAGUACGAAAGGACCAUUUAUAUUAAUUAAAUUAUAAUUUUUGAUUAAAAUUA
rnacentral:rRNA from 1 species